CUGUGUUCAACGGUCUGAAUGUCAGAACAAUUUUUCACUUGAACAAAGAAACCACAGAGGCCUCAUCAUUUCCUCAUCGUUUCAAGUGUCAGAGUCUCUUACCUUCUCUUCUUCCUCCAGAUGUCCCUCUGACUGGGACAAACGUCCCUCAACAGUUCGUCAUCGUCAUCGUGUCCUGCUCUGCUGGUGUCCUCUUUGUCCUCCUCGUCCUCGGUUGUGUUGAAGCGUUGUCGUGUCUGAGGAAGAAAGAUGGCCGCCGGCUGGUGGGUGACCUUCGACCUUCAGCCUGGCAGACUGUACAGUAUGAGGUGAUCCCGUCCCAGGAGGACGUCCCUAAAGACCUGGACAAGCCUCUUCGUCCUCCACAGAGACGACCCUGAAAGGACGCCAUUUUGUUUUUUUGUCUUCACUUGAAGUCAGAACUGAGUUCCACUGUGUUGGUGAUGCUAGACUGUAGUAGUAGUACUAUUAGUAGUAGUUGUUUUACUGUGUUACAGCCGUUAUGUCUGGAACCAGCAGGGGGCGCUGGUGGAAUUAAAAUUUUUAUACCUCAGGGUUACGGGUAACUGCAGUACUCUAUUACUACUUUACUCCCCCUGUAGUCUGUGUAUAUAACCAGCUGCUGCUCUGUUGGCGAUGGUGGUAGUAGUACUAUUAGUAUUAGUAGCAGUCGUAGCAGUUUUAUUCGUGUUUGGAAGCAGCCAGAGGUGCUGUGGUGGAAUUAAAGCUGCAGUUAAACCUGUAGAAACACAAGACAGUUGAGACAUGAAGAAUCAUUUCAACUUUAUUUAAUUGUUGUUGUUUUCUGAAACUGCAUCAUCAUCCAGGGAAAUGACAAAAUAGUCUUUCAUUGAACUCUAGAGAUACAAUAAAGUUCUGCAAAACCACCUCAAGAGAGAGUAAAAAUGGUUUAGAUUUAGAUAUUUCAGAGGUUUUUAGAAAUGUAGGUGCUUCAUUUAAAGUUUUAUAUGAUAGAUAUUUAGGUGUUGGGGUUAUUUGUAGAGGGGAAUGGAAACACAGUGUGAAGAAAUCUGAAAUCCUGCUGAACCCAGACAGUUUCUCAGAGUGGAGGCUGGAGGAGGUGGUUUCAGUGUUUGUGGUUUGUCAUGUAGACAUAAAUAAUGAAGAGGUAAACGAGGAAGUGGAGAACUCUUCUCUUCAGUCUGUUCAGAGCUGAGCUGCUUUGUAGACGUCUGAACCUGAUCAUGGAUCUCCUGCUGCUGAUGAUGAUGCCCCUGGUUCUGCUGGGUUCAGAGGUCCAGAACGUGACGGAGGUCAGAGGGAAACUGGGUCAAGACGUCUCUUUAAACUGCUCCAUCAUGGGUGCAGAUGUUCACUGGUCCAUGGAAAUCCACCAUCACUUCAGAUUCUAUAUCGGUCAAAGUCUUUUUCCUACAGACAAAGCUGAAUACGACUCUACUGAGUUAAAAACCAAAUAUUUAAUCAAUGGAACCAGACUUGAGAUUAAAAACAUGUCAUCAGAGGACGGUCGGCUUUACUACUGUGGAAGGAUGAUAAAUAACAGCUUCACAGCUGAGGAGUCCUUCCUCCUCCUCCUCCUCCUCCUCCCAGGUACGUAGUUAACUCCUCCUGACCUCAGGUCUUUAUAGCUCCUGGUUACUGGUUGUAGCACUAGUCCUCAUUCCUCUUUGUAGUCACCUCCAGGUUACCUGACCUCAUCUCAGUUAGUCCUUUAAAACCCACCAUGUGUUUUUACAUCAUUGAAGAAGGUGACUGAAGUUCUAAGACUGUUUUGUGGUCAGUAGAGUCAUAGAACUGAUUCUGUUCAGACUUUAGUUUGGUCGCAGCAACGCUUCCACAAAGAUGAACUCAGGAAGUGAUGUUCUGUGUUCAACGGUCUGAAUGUCAGAACAAUUUUUCACUUGAACAAAGAAACCACAGAGGCCUCAUCAUUUCCUCAUCGUUUCAAGUGUCGGAGUCUCUUACCUUCUCUUCUCCCUCCAGAUGUCCCUCUGACUGGGACAAACGUCCCUCAACAGUUUGUCAUCGUCAUCGUGUCCUGCUCUGCUGGUGUCCUCUUUGUCCUCCUCGUCCUCGGUUGUGUUGAAGCGUUGUCGUGUCUGAGGAAGAAAGAUGGCCGCCGGCUGGUGGGUGACCUUCAACCUUCAGCCUGGCAGACUGUACAGUAUGAGGUGAUCCCGUCCCAGGAGGACGUCCCUAAAGACCUGGACAAGCCUCUUCGUCCUCCACAGAGACGACCCUGAAAGGACGCCAUUUUGUUUUUUUGUCUUCACUUGAAGUCAGAACUGAGUUCCACUGUGUUGGUGAUGUUAGACUGUAGUAGUAGUACUAUUAGUAGUAGUUGUUUUACUGUGUUACAGCCGUUAUGUCUGGAACCAGCAGGGGGCGCUGGUGGAAUUAAAAUCUUCAUAGAAGAGGGUUACGGGUAAUUGCAGUACUCUAUUACUACUUUACUCCCCCUGUAGUCUGUGUAUAUAACCAGCUGCUGCUCUGUUGGUGAUGGUGGUAGUAGUACUAUUAGUAUUAGUACCAGUCGUAGCAGUUUUAUUCGUGUUUGGAAGCAGCCUGAGGUGCUGUGGUGGAAUUAAAGCUGCAGUUAAAGCUGUAGAAACACAAGACAGUUGAGACAUGAAGAAUCAUUUCAACUUUAAUUGUUGUUGUUUUCUGAAACUGCAUCAUAAUCCUUUGAAAUGACAAAAUAGUCUUUCAUUGAACUUUGGAAAUACAAUAAAGUUCUGCAAAAUCAAGAUAGAGUAAAGAUGGUUUAGAUUUAGAUAUUUCAGAGGUUUUUAGAAAUGUAGGUGCUUCAUUUAAAGUUUUAUAUGAUAGAUAUUUAGGUGUUGGGGUUAUUUGUAGAGGGGAAUGGAAACACAGUGUGAAGAAAUCUGAAAUCCUGCUGAACCCAGACAGUUUCUCAGAGUGGAGGCUGGAGGAGGUGGUUUCAGUGUUUGUGGUUUGUCAUGUAGACAUAAAUAAUAAAGAGGUAAACGAGGAAGUGGAGAACUCUUCUCUUCAGUCUGUUCAGAGCUAAGCUGCUUUGUAGACGUCUGAACCUGAUCAUGGAUCUCCUGCUGCUGAUGAUGAUGCCCCUGGUUCUGCUGGGUUCAGAGGUCCAGAACGUGACGGAGGUCAGAGGGAAGCUGGGUCAAGACGUCUCUUUAAACUGCUCCAUCAUGGGUGCAGAUGUUUACUGGUCCAUGGAAAUCCACCAUCACUUCAGAUUCUCUAUCGGUCGCAGUUUUUUUCCUACAGACAUAGCUUCCUACGACUCUACUGAGUUAAGAACCAAAUAUUUAAUCAAUGGAACCAGACUUGAGAUUAAAAACAUGUCAUCAGAGGACGGUCGGCUUUACUACUGUGGAAGGAUGAUAAAUAACAGCUUUACAGCUGAGGAGUCCUUCCUCCUCCUCCUUCUCCCAGGUACGUAGUUAACUCCUCCUGACCUCAGGUCUUUAUAGCUCCUGGUUUCUGGUUGUAGCACUAGUCCUCAUUCCUCUUUGUAGUCACCUCCAGGUUACCUGACCUCAUCUCAGUUAGUCCUUUAAAACCCACCACGUGUUUUUACAUCAUUGAAGAAGGUGACUGAAGUUCUAAGACUGUUUUGUGGUCAGUAGAGUCAUAGAACUGAUUCUGUUCAGACUUUAGUUUGGUCGCAGUAACGCUUCCACAAAGAUGAACUCAGGAAGUGAUGUUCUGUGUUCAACGGUUUAAAUGUCAGAACAAUUUUUCACUUGAACAAAGAAACCACAGAGGCCUCAUCAUUUCCUCAUCGUUUCAAGUGUCAGAGUCUCUUACCUUCUCUUCUCCCUCCAGAUGUCCCUCUGACUGGGACAAACGUCCCUCAACAGUUCGUCAUCGUCAUCGUGUCCUGCUCUGCUGGUGUCCUCUUUGUCCUCCUCGUCCUCGGUUGUGUUGAAGCGUUGUCGUGUCUGAGGAAGAAAGAUGGCCGCCGGCUGGUGGGUGACCUUCGACCUUCAGCCUGGCAGACUGUACAGUAUGAGGUGAUCCCGUCCCAGGAGGACGUCCCUAAAGACCUGGACAAGCCUCUUCGUCCUCCACAGAGACGACCCUGAAAGGACGCCAUUUUGUUUUUUUGUCUUCACUUGAAGUCAGAACUGAGUUCCACUGUGUUGGUGAUGUUAGACUGUAGUAGUAGUACUAUUAGUAGUAGUUGUUUUACUGUGUUACAGCCGUUAUGUCUGGAACCAGCAGGGGGCGCUGGUGGAAUUAAAAUUUUUAUACCUCAGGGUUACGGGUAACUGCAGUACUCUAUUACUACUUUACUCCCCCUGUAGUCUGUGUAUAUAACCAGCUGCUGCUCUGUUGGCAAUGGUGGUAGUAGUACUAUUAGUAUUAGUAGCAGUCGUAGCAGUUUUAUUCGUGUUUGGAAGCAGCCGGAGGUGCUGUGGCGGAAUUAAAGCUGCAGUUAAAGCUGUAGAAACACAAGACAGUUGAGACAUGAAGAAUCAUUUCAACUUUAUUUAAUUGUUGUUGUUUUCUGAAACUGCAUCAUCAUCCAGGGAAAUGACAAAAUAGUCUUUCAUUGAACUCUAGAGAUACAAUAAAGUUCUGCAAAACCACCUCAAGAGAGAGUAAAGAUGGUUUAGAUUUAUAUAUUUCAGAGGUUUUUAGAAAUGUAGGUGCUUCAUUUAAAGUUUUAUAUGAUAGAUAUUUAGGUGUUGGGGUUUUUUGUAGAGGGGAAUGGAAACACAGUGUGAAGAAAUCUGAAAUCCUGCUGAACCCAGACAGUUUCUCAGAGUGGAGGCUGGAGGAGGUGGUUUCAGUGUUUGUGGUUUGUCAUGUAGACAUAAAUAAUGAAGAGGUAAACGAGGAAGUGGAGAACUCUUCUCUUCAGUCUGUUCAGAGCUGAGCUGCUUUGUAGACGUCUGAACCUGAUCAUGGAUCUCCUGCUGCUGAUGAUGAUGCCUCUGGUUCUGCUGGGUUCAGAGGUCCAGAACGUGACGGAGGUCAGAGGGAAGCUGGGUCAAGACGUCUCUUUAAACUGCUCCAUCAUGGAUGCAGAUGUUUUCUGGUCCAUGGAAAUCCACCAUCACUUCAGAUUCUCUAUCGGUCGCAGUUUUUUUCCUACAGACAAAGCUUCCUAUAACUCUACUGAGUUAAAAACCAAAUAUUUAAUCAAUGGAACCAGACUUGAGAUUAAAAACAUGUCAUCAGAGGACGGUCGGCUUUACUACUGUGGAAGGACAAUAUAUAACAGCAUUACAGCUGAGGAGUCCUUCCUCCUCCUUUUCCCAGGUACGUAGUUAACUCCUCCUGACCUCAGGUCUUUAUAGCUCCUGGUUACUGGUUGUAGCACUAGUCCUCAUUCCUCUUUGUAGUCACCUCCAGGUUACCUGACCUCAUCUCAGUUAGUCCUUUAAAACCCACCAUGUGUUUUUACAUCAUUGAAGAAGGUGACUGAAGUUCUAAGACUGUUUUGUGGUCAGUAGAGUCAUAGAACUGAUUCUGUUCAGACUUUAGUUUGGUCGCAGCAACGCUUCCACAAAGAUGAACUCAGGAAGUGAUGUUCUGUGUUCAACGGUUUAAAUGUCAGAACAAUUUUUCACUUGAACAAAGAAACCACAGAGGCCUCAUCAUUUCCUCAU